UCGGGAGCCGGGAUCGGAGCCGGGAUGGGAACCGGGAUCGGGAGCCGGGAUCGGAGCCGGGAUCGGAGCCGGGAUCGGAGCCGCGUUCCCUUCGCUUCCCCCUUUCCCGAUCCCGGUUUGGGGCCGUUUUCCCAUAGGGAAGCCGGGAUGGGAGCUCCGGCUCCGCUCCCCCUCCCCCCGGCUCUUUGGAUUGGGAAAGAAGCGCCUGGAUCCCAAAGUAAUGGGAAUGGUAUCGGGAUCCGCGGCUCCGGUUUGAUUCUUCCUCUUCCUCCUCUGGCCGCCGGGUUCGGAUCCUGAGCCCCCCUUCCCAAACUGGGAAUUCCGCUUGGAUUUAUGGAUGCUGAACCCCGUUUUGUGCCCGUGGUUCCCUCUUAAAGAGCCUUAACCCGGAGCACGAGGGGCUGGAUCCCGUUGGAUCCAUGGGGCUUGGUUGAACCCGGCCCGGAGGAGAAGCAGGAUCUAAAGGAAGUUUAAUGGAAUUCCCGGUUAAACGGGGGCCCGAUCCUUGUGUUUUCCAACCGGGGGGGGGCACACGUUGGUUGAAACCUGAUCGUGUGCUCGUGUGGCUUUAGGAGUAAAGCAGCUCGGCCGCGGGGCUGGAAAAGUUGGGAAUUCCGGGUUUUCCUUCCCCAAAUGGGAUAAAUCCAGCAGGAAACUGGGUUUGUUGGUGCUGGGGAUGGAAAACUGGUCGAGAUGAGGGCUCCAAGCUCUUUGGAAGCUCUGGAUGAGAGGGAACCUGAGGCUCCACUGGAGCUGGAUCCGGGUGGGUUUGAUCCUGGGCGAUGCCAGGCAGGAGCAUCCCCAUUGCUGCCAAUGGGGCGUGCAGAGCAAGGAGGCCCAGAGGGGCUCCGAUCCCAUGGGAUGGCUCGGGAAUGGCAGGGAAAGGGCCGGGAUGAGCCCUCAAUGCGCCCCUGUCUCCCCUAUAGCUCUGCUCAGCAGUGACCAAAGCCCGGCUCGCCAUGGACACCGGGGUCAUUGAAGGAGGCUUAAAUGUGACGCUCACCAUCCGGCUGCUCAUGCAUGGGAAGGAGGUGGGAAGCAUCAUUGGGAAGGUAAGAGAGCAGCACAUCCCCAUUCCCUUCCUCCCUGCCCCAUUCCCAUUGCCCCCCCCAGCUCCUGAUGCCUUUUCCCUUCUCUCUCCCGGCACAGAAGGGGGAAUCCGUGAAGAAGAUGCGGGAGGAGGUGAGUCGGGAAAUGGGAAUCUCGGCAGCGCGGGGCAGGCUGGGAAGUGUAGGCAGAGCCAGUGGGAAGCAGGACGGGAGAAGAUGGCUGCCGGCAGGGAAUCCCGAGGGAUCGGAGCUGGGAAUGCUGAGCCGGGAGCACGGAGCACAUGGGGGCAUCCGGAGGGAUCCAUGCUGAGGGGAGUGAGGGGGGAUGGAUCCCCGAUGGGAAUCCAGGGGGAUUCCUGCUGAAUGGGAUCAGGGAUGAUGGAUCCCUGAUGGGAAUCCAGAGGGAUUCCUGUUGAACUGGAUAAGGGAGGAUGGAUCCAUGAUGGGAAUCCAGGGGGAUUCCUGUUGAACUGGAUAAGGGAGGAU
rnacentral:lncRNA from 14 species